rnacentral:lncRNA from 1 species
UCCCUCAUCUUCUUGAAUUUCUCAUGAGUGACCACCUUUUACACUUGACUUCAGAUUUCAUUUGCACUUUUUUGGCUUCUCAUUAAUCAUCACCUUUGCAGAUCUGUUCCAAAUUACAGCCAAGAAACAAUUCAUUAGUGAGUUAUAAUUUUCUUGUGUUAGCUUCGAGCCAUUUGUGCAGUAAAACAAUCAGUAAGAAACUACAAACAAUGAGCACUAUACAUGAAUAGGUUGACGUGAUAACUUAACGAUCUCUUCGAUAGAAGGGGGUAAAUAUCAUAGUAGGUUGAAGAAACUUGUCUAACCAAGAACAUCAUAAGAUCAAGAUAACUUGAUAAAUAUCAUGAGACGUCUCUGCUGGAAUGUAAAUUGAUGGACAUGCACCUUAUUCAUCUUACGUAAAGCUCAUAGCUAAAUAGUGCAAUUCCUUUUUUGUCAGAUAGUGCAAUUUAGGUUUGAGAAAUAGCAGGUUUAUGUAAAUACUUGAAAUUCAUGAACUAAUUGAAAUGUGCCUAAAUGAACAAUAAUGUAACUUGCGAAGCCUAUUUAUACUGAUGUGAAAAGCUGCAAUUGAACCACGAAAUAUGAAGUUAAGGACCAUAAGAUAGGAAAUUACUUAGGCCGCUUAGUUAAGUCCUAUGUCCAUGUAUCACAGUUACCACAAUCAGCCUUCGGAAGGGAAGAACAGAAACCUUCUUAGCCAAAUAUAAAGAUUCUUUAAGUUGAUUGGUGAAAUCUAGAAAAACAUAGUUUAACAGAAUGUAUUUUAUAUUUAAUAAUUUAGUAAAGGCAUAGGCUGCACUAUCAAAACAGAUGCAAGUCAUGGUUACUUUGUCUGAAAAGUUCUUAAUUUAUCUAAAAGUGCAUUUUCCUUUCCUCCUAGGGAAUGAAGGCUUGAUGUGGAAUAUUUUAUACAAGUAAGUGAAAGUGAAAACUCACAUUAUUUUAGGAUAGUGCCAUUAAUAUAAGCUGAUGGUUAUAGAGCUAUAAGGAUAGUGCUGAAAAUAUCUUUUUAGCCUUGAUCAUCCUUUGGUUGGAUUUUUUAUGUAGAAGAAAUAUAUAUGUAUACAUAACAAAACAGAAGAAUAGACAAGAAAUAGAAAGGUGUACUUGACACAUCAAUUCCUAAGUAAUUGAGAGUUGGGGAGGGGAAGUUUGAAAAAUACAGCAAGUUAUUGAGUUCAAAUAACUCAUUCAAAUCCUAAGGCUAUAUACAAUCACAUCUUUUGAUAUUUCACUUUUUUAGCUAGAAAACAAGAUGAGAAUGGGAUAAAGAUGAUAUUUUCAAUAUGUACUUGGAAUGUUUAGAGGAUAUUUGAGCCAAAUUUGGCACUUAGCCACUAGCCAACCUGUCAAAUUUUACAGAAGACUAUCUUAUAUCCAUUUGUUUUUUCUUUCGUAAAAGACACUUAAAUAUGUUUACACCGGCAGAAUUAUGAUUUGCCAUAUGCGAAUUGGCAUGCCUAAUGCACAACCACGUCCUUUCCUCUUCAGAUUCAAGUUGUGAGGCAAUUGGUACAGUGGUACAUGUCAUUAUCCUUUUUCCGACUCUUGGAGAAAUAAGGAACAAAAUUACAUUUAAAGGUUUUGUUAAAUGAUAACACGCACAACAUUGUUUUUAUAUGUGCUCAAUCUGGAGUACACGUUAAGAAGGGCUCAUCUAUAUAUGUAUUUUGGUUUCAUGAGCAUAUAUUAUUUAUUAUAUAGUAGAGCAGAUCAAUUAGAAGAUACUACUGACCUGAAUUAUAAUAAAACACGGAGGCGGCAUGGGAAACACUGGACUUGUUUCACAGAAACUGAAAUGCACCUUCCGUCAAGAACAAGUAGCCUGUGAAACAGUAAUCCUGGAAUUUGUAUUUUGAUUUAUUUGUCCUAUCCCAGCACUCGUACCUGCACAACCGAAUCAAUUACCGACAUGAAUGGUGGUGUGAAAUUUGAACAACAUAAAUGUCUAGUCAAAUUCACCUUCCCUUCCCCGACUUUGAAGUUACUCUUGGAGUUGUAGGUGACAUCUUGAUCUAUUGAAUCAUUAUUCUAAUGCAAUUCCUGUUACUUAUACCUGAAAGAAUAUAAAAAUCAACUAAUAAAAGGUUUUCAAAAAGAUAAA